AUGGCGGCCGCUAAGGACACCCAUGAGGACCAUGACACCUCCACUGAGAAUGCAGAUGAGUCCAACCACGAUCCCCAGUUUGAGCCUAUAGUUUCUCUUCCCGAGCAGGAAAUUAAAACGCUGGAAGAAGAUGAAGAAGAACUUUUUAAAAUGCGGGCAAAGCUAUUCUGAUUCGCUUCAGAGAAUGAUCUCCCAGAAUGGAAGGAACGAGGCACUGGUGACGUCAAGCUUCUGAAGCAUAAGGAGAAAGGGACCAUCCACCUCCUCAUGAGGAGGGACAAGACCCUGAAGAUAUGCGCCAACUAUUAUAUCACGCCGAUGAUGGAACUGAAGCCGAACGCGGGCAGUGACCGUGCCUGGGUCUGGAACACCCAUGCUGACUUUGCCAACGAGUGCCCCAAGCCAGAGCUGCUGGCCAUCCGCUUCCUAAAUGCUGAAAAUGCACAGAAAUUCAAAACAAAGUUUGAAGAAUGCAGGAAAGAGAUCGAGGAGAGAGAAAAGAAAGGGUUGGGCAAAAACGACGAUGCCGAGAAGGUGACUGAGAAGCUAGAAGCUCUCUCCGUGAAGGAGGAGAGCAAGGAGUUGGAAGACACCGAGAGCAAGGCUGGAGCGGAGGAGGAGCAAUAAGCCACCUCCCCUUGACUUCCUUCCGUUCUUUUCCUCCUUUUUCUUUUUUUAAAUUUUGCCCUGCCCCUUCUUUUCAGUUUGUUUUUAUUCUGUUUUGUUUUUACAAGGGACUUUAUAUAAAGAACUGAAUUCAAAAAAAAAAAAA